rnacentral:rRNA from 1 species
CCUACGGGAGGCAGCAGUGAGGAAUAUUGGUCAAUGGACGAGAGUCUGAACCAGCCAAGUAGCGUGAAGGAUGACUGCCCUAUGGGUUGUAAACUUCUUUUAUAUGGGAAUAAAAUGUUCCACGUGUGGGAUUUUGUAUGUACCAUAUGCAUAAGCAUCGGCUACCUCCGUGCCAGCAGCCGCGGUAAUACGGAGGAUCCGAGCGUUAUCCGGAUUUCUUGGGUUUAACGGGAGCGUAGGUGGAUUGUUAAGUCAGUUGUGAAAGUUUGCGGAUCAACCGUAAAAUUGCAGUUGAAACUGGCAGUCUUGAGUACAGUAGAGGUGGGCGGAAUUCGUGGUGUAGCGGUGAAAUGCUUAGAUAUCACGAAGAACUACGAUUGCGAAGGCAGCUCACUGGACUGCAACUGACACUGAGGCUCGAAAGUGUGGGUAUCAAACAGGAUUAGAUACCCCAGUAGUC